GGGAUGGCUCAGUGGUUAAGAGUGUGGGCUGCUGUUCCAGAGGACCCAGGUUCAAUUCCUGGCACCCA
rnacentral:tRNA from 1 species